ACGGAGGGGGCUAGCGUUGUUCGGAAUUACUGGGCGUAAAGCGCACGUAGGCGGAUUAUUAAGUCGGGGGUGAAAUCCCGGGGCUCAACCCCGGAACUGCCUUCGAUACUGGUAGUCUUGAGGUCGAGAGAGGUGAGUGGAAUUCCGAGUGUAGAGGUGAAAUUCGUAGAUAUUCGGAGGAACACCAGUGGCGAAGGCGGCUCACUGGCUCGAUACUGACGCUGAGGUGCGAAAGCGUGGGGAGCAAACAGG
rnacentral:rRNA from 1 species